CAUGUAGGCGGAUUGGUCAGUUGGGGGUGAAAGCCCGGAGCUCAACUCCGGAACGGCCUUCAAUACUGCCAGUCUAGAGUCUGUAAGGGGGUGGUGGAAUUCCGAGUGUAGAGGUGAAAUUCGUAGAUAUUCGGAGGAACACCAGUGGCGAAGGCGACCACCUGGUACAGUACUGACGCUGAGAUGCGAAAGCGUGGGGAGCAAACA
rnacentral:rRNA from 1 species